GAUGAACGCUGGCGGCGUGCCUAAUACAUGCAAGUCGAGCGAACAGACGAGGAGCUUGCUCCUCUGACGUUAGCGGCGGACGGGUGAGUAACACGUGGAUAACCUACCUAUAAGACUGGGGUAACUUCGGGAAACCGGAGCUAAUACCGGAUAAUAUAUUGAACCGCAUGGUUCAAUAGUGAAAGACGGUUUUGCUGUCACUUAUAGAUGGAUCCGCGCCGCAUUAGCUAGUUGGUAAGGUAACGGCUUACCAAGGCGACGAUGCAUAGCCGACCUGAGAGGGUGAUCGGCCACACUGGAACUGAGACACGGUCCAGACUCCUACGGGAGGCAGCAGUAGGGAAUCUUCCGCAAUGGGCGAAAGCCUGACGGAGCAACGCCGCGUGAGUGAUGAAGGUCUUCGGAUCGUAAAACUCUGUUAUUAGGGAAGAACAAAUGUGUAAGUAACUAUGCACGUCUUGACGGUACCUAAUCAGAAAGCCACGGCUAACUACGUG
rnacentral:rRNA from 1 species